rnacentral:lncRNA from 12 species
UCCCUUUUAACAUGGAUUUAGGUUGAUGAAACUGACAUUGUCAAAUUUUACACUUUAUAUGGUUUUAAGGCAGGUAUGAAACAAUGCACAUAUGCUUGGUAAUAAAUGGAUUUUCUUGUAUUGAUUACUUAAAACACCCUUUACAAGUGUUUUGGGAUGAGUCCAGCAAAGAAGCUAAUGCGUCAAAAAAUGAAGUAACUUGUCUGAAUACACAGCGCUGGUUAUGGGAGAAGGGAAAACACAAAUUUAGGGUUUAGUCCCACUCUACUGGGCUGUGCUGCCUGUGGGAACAGGUUACCUGGGAGUUCUUCUAUUUAAGGCCUAAGGGUUAUAAAUGGUCUUCAAGCCUGCUGGUAUUCAAAAUACCCUCACUCCAUUUCCUCCUGAAAUGAAAACAAUUCUAUGUAGUAUUCUAACUUGCCAAUAAGUGUCAGAAAUAAUAAUGUUUGUUAAAUGUUUAUAGGAUUUAUUUCAAAGAGCUAUUUUGUAAACAUUAAUUUUUUAAAUGAACUCUUUUUUUUUUUCCCCCAUUGUUCCACUCUAUUUGCUAACUUUAUUCCAGGAGUCCCUGAAGUCAUGUUCAGAGCCCUGUGUGUUAUCUGUCAAGGCUAAAGCUUUAAAUAGAGCUGUUCCAGGUGUUACUUACUCCACCGCCUAUUUUUUGCCCUCUCUUAACCCUGGAAGUUACCUCUAUUCCCUUCUACGAGGACUUUCUGAAUAAGAGAUUAAUGGAUACCAGUAUGCAUGGGAAGGAACUGAAGGCAAAAAUCAACAGUCAUUUUACUUUGAAAAUGUCCAAGUAAGUGAUACUAAAUGAUAACUGAGCACUAGGAUUUUUAUAACUUCCUGUGGCCAUCCUAACAGCAUCGUAUUUGGAGAUUUUGCAGAUGGCACUGGUCUAAGAUUCACUGGUCGUGAGAGGGGUGAACCUCCCUGACUCUGAAUGGUGACCCUGGUGGGAGCACCACAUUACGGACAAAGAGAGCAGAUGGCAAGUACUUGGAUGCUGUCUUUCUAUGUGCCAACAUAAGCUUUUUAUUUAAGUUUUAAAACACUAUGAACUGCAAGUUGUAAAUUUUUGUUUGGAAAGUACAAAUUUUCGUUCAAACAUGAAAUAUUUUUCUAAAAUUAUUUUUCUGAAUUUGAAUAAAAAUUUUAAAUUGAAAUCUUUUUGUUGUUUU